UACAGAGGGCGCGAGCGUUGUCCGGAAUCACUGGGCGUAAAGGGCGCGUAGGUGGCCACUAUAAGGCCGCGGUGAAAGUUCGGGGCUCAACCCUGAAUCUGCCGCGGCGACUGUAGGGCUAGGGCACCGUAGAGGCAGAUGGAAUUCCGGGUGUAGCGGUGGAAUGCGUAGAUAUCGGAAGGAACAUCAGUGGCGAAAGCGACUUCCUGGACCAAUACUGACGCUCAUGUGCGAAAGCGUGGGGAGCAAACAGG
rnacentral:rRNA from 1 species